rnacentral:lncRNA from 1 species
CCCCUACCCCGCCUGAAACCAUCCAAAGCAAGCUUCUCACACCUACGAACCGGCGCAUUCGUGCCCCUCCUCAUCACAUGCCCGAACCAUCUCAAUCGAACUUCCCGAAUCUUGUCCUCCACCGAAGCCACUCCAAGCUUUUCCUGAAUAGUCUCAUUUCGAACUCUAUCACCCCUAUUAAGCCCACAAAUCCAACGCAACAUCCGCAUUUCUGCCACCUUCAAUUUUUGAAUGUGAGAGUUCUUGACUGGCCAACAUUCCGCUCCAUACAACAUGGCCGGACGGACUGUCAUCCUGUAAAAUUUGUCUUUAAGCUUGGGCGGCACCUUCCUAUCACACAACACCCCCGAGGCGAGCUUCCACUUCAUUCAUCCCGCCCCAAUACGGUGGGAGACAUCCUCAUCAAUCUCACCAUUCCCCGAAUCAUGAACCCCAGAUACUUGAAACUAUCCCUCUUACACACCGUCUGGGAAUCCAACCUUACUACCACCUCGUCUUAAACUUGCAUUCCAAAUAUUCUGUCUUGCUGCUGCUCAACCUGAACCCUUUAGACUCAAGGAUCUGUCUCCACACCUCUAAUUUAUCAUUCAACUUCCCCCUAAUUUAUCAUUCACACCUCCCGCGUCUCAUCAAUCAAAACUACAUCAUCUGCAAAAAGCAUACACCAAGGCACCUCUCCUUGAAUACGCCGCGUCAACACAUCCAUCACCAAAGCAAACAAAAAGGAGCUAAGAGUGGAACCUGGUGCAACCCCGUCAAGACAGGGAAAUGCUCUGAGUCUCCUCUCGCCGUCCUCAUCUGAGUCUUAGCUCCAUUAUACAUGUCCUUGAUUGCUCUAAUAUACGCCAUCGGUACUCCACUCACCUCCAAGCAUCUUCAAAGCACCUCCCUAGGGACUUUGUCGUAAGCCUUCUCCAAAUCGAUAAACACCAUGUGCAGAUCUCUCUUCCUUUCCCUAUACUGUUCCACCAGUCUCCGCACCAGGUGAAUUUCCUCCGUCGUCGAGCGCCCGAGCAUAAAUCCAAACUAACUUUCCGAGAUAGACACUAUCCUCCUCAACCUCAACUCGACCACUCUCCCAAAUCUUCAUAGUGUGGCUCAAUAACUUAAUACCUCUAUAGUUAUUGCAACUCUGAAUGUCACCCUUAUUCUUAUAAAGAGGGAUCCUAGUACUCCAUCUACAAGCCUCGGGCAUUUUCGCCGACUUGAAAAUGCCAUUAAAUAAUUCAGUCAACCACCUUAAGCCAGCCUCACUAAAGAACUUCCAAAAAUCCACAGGUAUCUCAUCAGGUCCCGUCGCCUACCCCAACGCAUCCUGCGAUAAAACGUCCACAAUAACUAAAAUCACAACUUCAGUACUAGAAAGAUUUACAAAAACUAGAGAAAACUUGAGAUAUAGGGUAACUUUCAUAUAGUAGAGAGGUUGCCGACCUUCUGUUUCACUUCUUACCUUCCCAAUAGCAGAGAGUUGGCAACUCCAUGUAUGUAUCAAAGAGAGACUUACAGUUGAAUUCGCCGGCGUUCGGUGGCAGCAAGCUCGCAGUGCAAGGCAUAGCAGUGGCCCAUCAGCUUGCGAGGCAUAAAAUGUGCAUAAAAUUUUGUGUCACACUCUAUGGUGAUAGUUAGAAAUAAUGAUGCGAAUUAAUAACUGGAACAAAAUAAAAGCAAGAAAGAAGAUGGAAUAGGUUCAUGUGAUAUUAUUUAUAAUAAGAAACGACCCUAUUAAAUCUUGUUGCUGCAAGCAAAUAAAUAUCAAGCCCACCUUGAGUUGCAACGUGGUCAUUGUGGAAGUUGCACUCUUCUUGGCUGCUUGCCUCACCGAAAGGUCUAGUGGAGCAGCCACUACACAAAAUGGUAUUGGAAAUUACUAUUGCUCGACGUAAAACAAAUAGUGGAUUCCUCUAGAAUUAUUUCGGAAGAUGCCAGACUGAUAUAUCCUCGCUGAUCUAGCCACAGUUGAAUAAUUCUAAGCAACAGGUUCUUCAGCCCUGUCCGAACCUUCCUGCAUUAGAUUUUUAAUGAGAUUCCUGUCUGUUGUUUCGCAGCUAUCAGAGAAAGAGAAGCAGCUAAUUAUUUCCUCCUGUAGAGCUAACUGCAACAGCAACAAAAAUAGCUUUUUCCUUUGUUAAGUUGCAAAGUAAAUCCACAUUGUUAAAUUUGUACUUCAGAAGCACUAAAGAAUUGACCAUGUAGAACAUUUCUCUCGCUAUCUAUAUAUUCAACAUCAAGACUCGUCCACAUUAUGAUACUGCAGGUAAAUUUAGCAAAGGAAAUAGGAGAUAGAAACAAAAGAUUAAGAUGAUGAUUUAUUGAUGAAAGUUACUAAGCAAUAGCAUAGUAAGUGAUACCUCCAUUUUUACUCUAUACGUCGCACUUCCGUUUUCCCCUACUUGAUUGGUUUCCUGUAUCUUGAUUGGUUCCGCCUCCGUUUUCAUGAUUACUACUGGAUUUGCUCUUGCUGUGUUGGCUGGCAUUUUCCAUUCAGUUAUCUGACAGAUUUGGAAAUGACCGAUGAGUUGUUUGUUUCCUCCUUCUCUCGGUCUCCUUCAUUCUCUUUUCCUCUUUCCAUGAUUGUUCCAAAGUAACUUAUCCUUCCCUUCUUUUCAAUGUUCUCAGGAUCUGGUGUAUAAAAUGUGCGAAAAACUUUAUCAGGUGGAACAAGUAGAAUACAAGAAAAUGAAGAAAGAAACAUAAAAAGUCAUAUAAAUAUUGAUCAAUGUCAUCCCACAACGGUGUUUACAAAACGUUAUCCCACUACAUUAAUUUACACACACAUGCCCUGCUGAUUUUCCUAAUUACCUUAAGCUUUCAUCAAUCACAGUGCAAAAGAACAGAGAAGAACCUGUUCUGGUGGUGCUUAACAGCUACUUGAAUAACGGGAUAUUAUGCCAGCCCAGGACCUGAAGCUCGUCCCCUCCCAUAUCUUCAACAUAUUGUUUAAUCUUCUUAGCAGAAUCUUCAACAUGAGGGCUCUCUACAAGUUUGAUGAUUUUCAACGAACAAAUAUCACCGAAACUAGGUGGAAUCUCCUUAAGCAUAUGACAUUUCCGCAGUACUAAUUUCUCAAUCACAGGAAAGGAUUCCUCUCCAACUUCCCACUUAGCAAGAGUCACUUCAGUCAAGUUCAAAUAUUUGAGAUUCUCAAAGGUGUCUUCCUCCCUCAUGUUCCAUUCCUCCCCAUGGAUGAUUGUUCUCCUAAGGAACAACUCUUCAAGAUUGGGCAGUUUCGCUAUUGUUGAUAGUGAAUCGGAUGCCAGAGGAAAGUCAUACAACAACAAUGUUUUCAAAUUGGAAGGGAAGUGAAAAUCCCAAGACCGAUUUGUCGCUACAGAGGCCCCACUGUCAUUGGAAUUUGAACUUUUAAAAUCUACUGUGAGGUGUUCUAGUUCAGUUAGGAAAUCAAAUUUCGGGAACCAAUAUCGCUCUGUUGAGUAAUCCCAUGAUUCCUUGAGAACAAAUGAAAGCUCUUGAAGAUUGGGGAACCUUUUGAAAAUAACCUCUGUUUCUUUUGAAUAGGAAAGCACGAGUUUCCCUAAUUCUCUCAAGUUCUCUAACUGUGAGUCCUCAGUUAUCAGUAUUGAUUCAACAGUAUCCAAGUCAAAGAAAGAACAAUCAUCAAUGGACAGCACUCGCAACUUUACAAGAUCCCAAAGGCUAGGUAAUAGUACCAAGGUUGAUCCUUUGUUUUUAACCCAUAGGGUUUCUAGAUUCCAAAGGUUUGAGAAAGAUAAAGGCAGAGCUUUAACUUCUGCCCCAAUGCUUAAGAACCUCAAAUGAUUCAACAUGCCUAUUUCAUUCAGCAAAGACUCUUUCACCAUCAUAAAAGAUGGCUUCAGGUACAACACUCUAAGAAGCCUCAAGUCUCUUAGGUGACAUGCAUCAGAAAAACGAUCUUCCAUCUCGUCUCCAGUUAUCACCAAAGAAUAGAGGUGUUUACCAUACCGCCUUUUCAUUUUUGAAUCGAGCAGGACGAAAUUGUUAUAUUCAAAGUGCUCCUUAUCAUAAUAAAUGGUCACUAUAUGCGACAUCAAAUCUGAAGAAGAAGAUAGAUCACUUGAACUUACCUUCUCAAACAACUUUUCCUCUUUUGCUUUUAUCAAACAAAAGUCAUGCACAAGAUCAUGUAGUUGGCAAGUCGGGUAAUUGCCUAUCUCAUUGAAAGCAAUUACCAAGCUACUGGAAAUUAAAUUAUCCAAAUAAAUUUCCAUCACUUCUUCCAAACUCUUCAGCUCUGUCUGUUCAACAAGCCCUUCAGCACACCAAAACAUUUUCAACCAAUUUCUAUCCACUGCAUUGUCCUUCGGAUACCUCGCAAGGUAGAGAAAGCAUGGCUUUAGUUGAAGAGGUAAAUGGUCAUAACUUAAUUUCAUAACCUUCAUCACAUAAACUUCACUAUUCAAAAUAAAGGAAUUCAAAUUAUUUCGAAUUUCAAGCCAUACAGACUUUGUCUUUUCCCUACCUGCAAUGACUCCAGCAAUCAGAUCAACAACCAAUGGAAGUCCCUUACAAUUUUGGGCGAUUUCUUUUCCAACAUCCAAUAGUUCAUCAGGGCAACUCUUGUUUCCAAAUGCCCUUUUCUCUAAUAACUCCCAACUUUCUUCUGGCCUUAGCAAACGAAGGUUAAGAGGAUCAGUGUUGCGCUUUCCAUACAAACCCACUACCAUAUCUCGAGAUGUCAAAAUUAUUCUGCUUCCAUUCUCAACUAGAGGAAAAGGUCUUGUUAACUUAUCCCAUGCAUCAGUAUCCCACAAGUCAUCUAAGACAAUAAGAUACCUCUUUCCAAGCAGAUGUCUCCUUAGCUCAUCAGCAACAUCAAUAUUCUCACUCAAUUUUGAAUCAGGGCCGGUAACUUGAUUAUAAACUUUCUCCAACAAAUUUAUUUUGUCGUAUUCUUGGCCAACUGUGCACCAUGCACAAAUGUCGAAACGUCUAGAAACGGACUCAUCAUUGUAUACUUUGUAUGCCAAAGUAGUUUUGCCCGAACCCGGCAUACCAGUGAUUGAGAUGACAUCUAGAUCUUUUAGUCCACUGGUGAGCUUACUAAUUAACCAGUUUGUCUCCUCCUCAAAACCUACAAUUAUUUUACCAACUGUCAGUGACUUGCUUUCAACAAUCUUCUUAGUAGAGUUUACUACAGUGAGGCUCCUGUUCUUGGGAAUCUUCUCAGAUAUAUUGGAGACUUCUUCUUGGAUAAGCUUGAUCUUUUUUAUCGUAAUGGGAAGUGAGAAAAUAAGAUGUAAGAGACCAUUAUCUCGAACAAUAAUUGAAUCAAUGACAUCUUUAGCCUCAUAAGCCACAUCUAAAAUAUGUGCCCAGAGAUCUUUAUACAAUCCUUGCUCAAAAUUCACGAAGAACGAUCUUAUCAAUUCAAAGGUUUUUUUCACCAUUCUAAUGUCAUCCUUUAUCAAAGCAAUUGAAUAAGAAUUGGAAUCUAGCAGACCAUUUAAGUGGAUGAGUAGAAGAUGCAUGAACAGCGGUCCAUCAUUCAUGGGGAAGCAACAUUGAUAUGAGUCCGGGGCUUUCAGAUAAUCAUUUUUGAGAUCUUCCUUGAAGAGUUCAAUAUUUUCCAGCAAAUCUCGAGUUGCACAAAUUGUUUGGUCGAUUCUCUCUUCAUUCCUUGAUUUCUCUAUUAAGUCGUGAACAAGAGUUGAUACCUCCCUGACAAGUGCUCCAACACGUGCCAAAAGAUCAAACAAUUUGUCAUGAUGAAUAAAGUCCUUGGGCACAUCAGUAACUAUAAUCAAUAGGAACUCUAUAAUGACAUGAACGUUUCGAGCCCCUGAAGUGCUUGCGGUAAUAACAGUUACCAUGUGCUCUUGUAGAUGAAUCAGAUAUUCUCUCAGAACAUCCGGAGAGGUUUCAAGGAGUUGCUUAAUAAAGCGUCCAACUUCUACUGAUGGUGAAGCUUUCAAAUUUGUAUAACAUAUGUGCAUCACCUCCAGUUCAAUUGGAAUAAUCUUCAUGAGUAGAUGUGCUAGCUUGAAGAGUCGAAAAUCUCCAUCAAUCUGAUCAUCCUCAGAGAGUUCAGAGUCUCCAUCAGUCUGAUCAUCCUCAGAUAGUUCAGAGAGUUCAGAGUCUCCAUCAGUCUGAUCAUCCUCAUCUAGCUCGGAGAGUUGAGAGUCUCCAUCAGUCUGAUCCUCCCAAAGGAAGUGUCCUACACUCUCGGCCAUCCGUUGAAACAGAGGUAAGACAUUCUCAAUAAUCUCAUGCUUAAUGCAACCAUUCACUAUCAACCCAUGGAAAUCUCCUAUGUUGGCACAAACGUUCUGAAGAAUCCCAUAUUCAGUCACUAACGGAAAAAUCUUUUCAGCAUGAUACUUGGAUAGAUGAUGGAGAUUCAAGAGAAGGAAGUUCAAUCGCUCCUCCGUCAUGGUGCCAUCUGAUUUAGAACGAUGAUGUGAGCUGAUACAGUCAUCCAUAUUAUCAGCAAGGCUAGGAAGGACAUGAUGCAUGUUAUAUUUACACCUGACAGUGUUGUCCACAUCAUCCAAAAUUGUCUGAAGCAGAUUCUCAACCUCUUGUCUUUUGUCAGUCAUUAUAUCUUCAAACUGAUCCAAAUCGGAAUAAGAAAGCUGGACAUACGUACAAAUAAAUGUCAGCAAUAAUUUCAGCUUUUCAAUAAGAUCCACAUCAACAGCUUUUCGAUCCUCUUCGUUCUUUAACCUCUCCAUGAAAUCCAGAACAUUGACAACGUCCUCACGAAGAGCAGAAAACGACGCCUGCAAAAAGACCAAAUGUUACAUUCCUAUCAAAUUUUCAAAGCCACAGAACUUAACAUAGCUACAGAAGAGGGAUUUCUUCAAAAUAGAAUGUUGUACAUAAGCUAUAUAUUGAUCAUGACAUACCGAUGAGUUGUUUGCUUCCUCUUCCUUUCUCACUUGCUCAUUUUCUUUUACUCUUUCCAUGAUUGUGAUCAAGUUCUCUGGCACAAAAGAGUACCUACAUAAAAAAGGAACAAAGUUAAUCACAAAGUUGAUCAAGGUCAAAACAUCAAAUACAUAUAGAGAAACUAUUUUUUCCGAAUAGUAAUUCUAGAGCAAUUAGUCUCUAACACCAGAAUUGUUAGUGUUAAUCACACAUAAAAUGUUUUCACAUUAAAUUUUCAGAAAAGAAAUUUGUAAGAUUAAGGAAAAUGCAAGUCCCAUAUAUUCAAGAAAGACAGAACCUAUCACACCAAAUAUGUUUCCUUUUUUAUGGGGAACUGCUCCUUACUCGGAGUUUGACGUUUAAUUAAGUUUCUACAUGCUUAAAUAGUCAAUAAUAUUUUUCAGAAAUAGUAUUUUUGAUCAACGGUGAAGAAAGUAAGCUAUGGAAUUCAGAAAGAUUUUUCUGUGAGAGUAUCUGAAGUAAUUGGAAAAUGAACUUGGAAGGCUAGAAACAGAAAGAAGAAUCAAAUAGAGAUCAACAUCUAAUCCCAAUUCAUUGACUUUUCAAGUCUUUUUAAUAACCAUUAUAAUCUUAGUCUUCUUAAUCAAUUGUGAAAACAUGUACGUCUACCUAAUAUUCAUAUUAUAAAUUGACUUAGACUUGUGGAGAUUCUUAGCUUGUGCAUAUAGAUGAUGUUGUUCUACAGUCAUAUACAUCAUACCUAACAUGUUCAGAUAAUUUCAAGCCUACCCCAAACGUAAGGGAUCAUUUUUAUCAUUUUCUUGACAAAUUCUCCGGAAUUGAUGUAAAAAAGAAAGCAGUAUAAAAUUAAUUUCAUAGCAGAAAACAUACAUUUUUGCACAUAUAAAUAAGUCAAUUAUUUUCCGUCGACUCGAAUGAGUGAAAUUACAGAUGCCAGUACCGUAAUUAAACACAUUAUGUUUUCAGUUAUUAUUAGAGACUAACCUUUUUAGUUGAUGAAAAAUCUUAAAUGGCCGCUCUUUGUUUUUGUGAAUGACUAUAUUAAAUUGAUAAGAUUUGUGUAGAGAGAGAAGGGUUAGGCAGAAAAAAAUAUGUUUGGAGUAGUGAACAAAUGCAGCAUUGAUUGUAAGAGUAUAAUUUGCAGCAAAGUGUUAAUUUUGAUAAAAUGUGUGGAGGAGAAGACUUAUAGAAAAGAGGGUGGGCCUAUAAUAUGUUUGAACUAGUCAAACAUGGACUUGUACACUUUGCUAUUUAAGUUAUACAUACUGAUAAUGUUAGUUUCGAUAUGAUCAGGAGGUCACGGAUUUAAGCCUUAAAAAUAGCCUCCAGCAAAAAUGCAAGCUAAGAUUGUGUACAAUACAUUCUUAUGUUAGGGCCCUUCUCCAACCCUAUGCACACCGGGAGUUUUAGUGCAUCGGACGGUCCUUUUUUUAUACUGAUAAUGUAAGUUUUAAAUUCAAUUUAGUUUUAAAGAUUAGUCAAAUUGAGUCUUGUGAAGUGAAAAAUGACAAGUAAAUUGUGGGAGUACAAAAUAAAUAACAGUAGAGAGUGUUGCUUAAUUAGUAAAAGGCAUAAUAUAUAAAUAUGUUCUUUAACUUGGCUUCAGUUCACUUCUAUGACCUUCAACUUUUGACAUGUAUAACUAGACAGUUAAACUUGUAUAAAGUUGAACAAAUAAACACAUGUGUCUUAUGUGGCGUCUUAUAUGACUAAUUCUUGUCCUAAGUACAUGAUGUCCUAAAUGUAUUAUGUCACAUAAGACAUAUGUGUCUGCUUGUUUAACUUUAUAUAAAUUUAAGUUCCUACUUGUGCACGUCCAAAGUUGGAGGACAUAAAUAUAAAUUGAAGCCAAGUUAACUGGCACAUUAAUGUAUUAUGCCUUAGUAAAAAUUAUAAAAUAGACAUGGAAAAAUUUACAUUCACCUAAACGGGUAUUAGUUUAGAUUCUUACCAUCUUUCCUCUAGGUGUGAAUUUGUUUUUGUUUUUGUGCAUCACUAUACUAACUUGAUAACAUUUGUGUGGAGGAGAAGAUACACACAAAAGGAGGAGGGGUAAAAUUAGGACACCAAAUUAUUGAGGUUAGUUAGAAUAUGUUGAUCGGUGGUAACCAUUCUCAUAUUUGGAUAUACUUUACAUAUAUAUAUAUAUAUUGCUCGGACUCUUUAAAAAUGUUGUUAUACUAACUACGGAUCCUUUAAAAAAUACAUUUCUUUUAGAGGAUCCAACAUGCACCCUUCAACAUUAUUGAAAAGUCCGGACAACAUAAUUUUUAAGAAGAUAUGUAAAGUGUGAUUGGGUGGUGUUGCUCUUUUUGACUCUCGUUACCCUAUGGACAAAAUUGCAAGCACAACAUGAUCUUUUUACUUGCAUGACUUAGAUGUUUCGUAUUUCUUAAAAAAGUGGUUCAAUUAAUGGAAUUUGGUAUGAGAUCGAUGAUUUUGAUAUGAUUGAUAUUUCAAUCUUUCUUCUUAUAACGUAUUGAUUUGACCCCAUAAGCGAAACCAAACAUGUUGCCGCUAGAAGCAGAACCCCGUAUUUCUUCUAGAGAAUCUCAAUCCUAAUAAUUUCAGAGCAACUAGAAAAAGAUUCUUUAAUCAAAAAGAAUUCGAUGUAGGAUACUUAUCCAGAAGUUUUCGCAACUCAGUCAUAGAUGAUGGAAUCAUCAAAGAUUUGACCUUAAGUUUUGAUCCACGAGCAACACUUUUGACCAUAAAGCUAAGGUUUGCGCAUGAGGCAAGCGAAGUCAAAAGUCUAAGACUACUCGAUUAUUAGGUAUAUCAAAAGUAGCUUGAGUUGCACAAGUCAUGAGCAAUGAGUAUAAAAGAAACCUCUAACUUAGAUAAAUAAACAUGAUUGUUGUACGCGAAUUAUUUCAUAUAGGAUGUGUGUGUCUACUUGUUUAAUUUUAUACACGUUUAAGUGUCUAUUUAUGUACACCCAAUAUUAGAGGUCAUAAAUGUGAUCUGAGGUCAAGUUAAAAAACAUGUUAUGUAGUAUGCCUAUUUUAGAUAUUUUUUAACAUUGACAAGAAUUGAAACAACACGCGUAUAUUUUGGGUUUGUAAGCAACAAAAGAAUGUGUAAGAAUGGAGAAGAAUAUGUUCUGGUGCUGUCAUGACUAUCAAGUGUGUCAGUUUUCUAGCUAAAUUAUCACCAAAUGCUAUCACAGUACCACAUACUCAUUGUUACAUAACAUUCACAAAUAGUUCAUUUGAGACAUUUUUUAAUAUUGGCUAGAAUCGAAACAACCCGUGUAUAUUUUUUGUUUGUAAAUAGCAAAAGAAGGUGUAAGAAUGGAGAUGAACCUGUUCUGGUGUUGUCAUGACUAUCAAGUUUACCAGUUUCCUAGCUAAAUUAUCACCAAAUAUUUAUCGCAACACUAUGAAUUGUUCACUUUUCUAUCAUCAAGUCAAAAAAAAAAAAAGAGUAGCAAAUGAUAGUUGAGGUGUGUUUCGAUAAAUAUUUUGAUAAUAGUUAGUGUUAGGAACUACCAUACUUAAUAGUUUAGAUAAACAAAUUCGAAAAAAGAUAGGAUAUUUUAGACGUGGCGUAAUUUAUGUGCAUACCUCCGGUCCACUUGGGGUAAUUUUCAUGAGUAGAUGAGCUAGCUUGCAGAGUAUCAAGUCUUUUCAAUAUCAUACUUCUUUAUAUACAUAAUAUAAUUUUUCUAUGUAAAGUAAUCAAUUGUCUAUCUUUCAUUAAUAGGUGACAUUUUUUAUUUUAAAAAAUAGGUCAAAUUGUCUGGGACCCACCACGAUAUCUGGGAAAAAAAUGAUCGGUGGUUCUUCGACAGCCUGUGGAACGGAUGUGGGUGGACCGGCAAGGCCACCUAGUCCAUUUAGGUGGUCAAACGGAUGAAACGACGCAAACAAAUUAUUUUUGACCGUUUUCGGUGGGUGUUAGCCCAUGGUUUGGUGAUUGGUCUUGGGGUCCGGCGCAGGAUCUGAACAAAAAUCAAUUGGUGACUCUCCGACGGUCAGUGGAGCGGAUGUAGGUGGUCCGGCAAGGUCGCCUGGACUAUUUGGGUAGUCAAAUGGGUGAAACGGUGCGAACGAACCAUUUUUAGCUGUUUUCGAUGAGUGGCAGCCCACAGUUCGGUGGAUGGGCCCAGGGCGGGAUCUGGACGACAAGGUUACGAAUUAGACACUUUUAAAAUUAAGGAUAAAAUUAUUUUAUGUUGAGUACAUAAAAAAAUAUAUUUACCACGUUUUUUGGAUACAUCACUUAAUUUUAAACGGAUACAUCACAUUCUUCACUGAUGUAUCCGCGCUUUUAGAUAAAAUCAAGGAUCUAUGUAAUUAUGUAGAAAGGAUUGUGAUUUUAAGCAGUUAUGAUACGUUAAGUGGUAGUAUUAAGUAGGGAUUUCUAUUUGCAUACAUUAUCUCAUUAAUAAUUAUGUAAAAUCUGUACAUGCCAACUAUUUUGAGACGGGGAAAAUAGUUUCAUUAGAAUACGAUUGUUACAUUCUUCAUUAGCUCUAAGCCUUUAAUAUAUUCAACUAUGUUUUUUAUUUAUUUCACCAUCAAUUUGAUCACCUUUUUUCAAUUCAAAUUAGGGUUAGGUAUGUUUAAUUUACAAUAAUAUAUUUUUUAUUAACUUUUACUAUGAUUUUUGUAAGAAAAUAAAUGUCUCAAAAUUCAAUCGGUUUUGACCUUUGUACUCAAAAUUCAUAUGGGAAAAAGGAUAAUUAUUAGUGAACUUAAUAAUUGUCCUUUCAGAUUGCAUUGUUUUGUUCACGAUUGAAAUUGAUUCUUAUAAAUGUGGUAUUCAGUAAUUACCCUACAAUAAGUAUGGUAUUUCAAAAUUAGCGUUAUAUAUUAUAAGUGGUUUAAAAUCUUGAAGACGUAAUAGAUGACAUUUAAAAAAAAUAUUAAUAGGAAAAAUAAUUUUCUUUAGCUAAUAAUAACAAAUUUAGAUGACGAGAGGGUUGCGAACUAGAUAAUUUCUAAAAUGAAGGAUAAAAUUAUUCUAUAUCAAUUACAUCAAAAAUAAAUUGACGCUUUUCUCUACAUGAAAUAAGGGAUAAAAUCAUUUAUUUUUCUAAUUUCAUUAAAGAAAUAAUUUCCUUAAAAAAUUAUUCGUUAACAAACCAGGAGUAUAAUCGAGUAUCUAUUUUAUAAUAGUUCACUAGUAUUUUGGAUUAAAAAUCGAAUUGUGGAUAUUUUUAUUCUAUUUUUAAUAGUUUAACGUCAUACUUGCCCCUAUUCGAUUUAAUUUUUAACAUUAGUUUUUAUUUCACUAUAAGUUUUUAAUCAAAAUUAUUCAUUACUUAAAAUAUAACCUUAACCUUAAGCAUCUUUGGUCCCAUAACUUUUCUAAAAUGAAACACAUUUGCUCCACUAACAAAUGAAUUUUAAAAUUAUUGCGACUACUAAAAAACACGAUAAAUACUGUUGGAAAAAAUCAAUUGACUUUCCACACCAUUUAAAAGUUGAUCAACUUUUGCUUGUACUUUUAGUAAUACAACAACAACAAACCCAGUAUAUUCUCACAUAGUGGGGUCUGGGGGUAAGAUGUCCAUACCACUACCUCCGGAAAAGUAGAAAGGUUGUUAUUGAUAGACCCCCGGCUCAAGACACGAAAUAAUACACAAAUCCUUAAUAAAGCAUAGAACAAGAUGACAGUACAUACCUACGCCACCCACAAGGAAUAAUAAUUAAAGAGCAGUAAACAAACUCGUAAUAAAGCAUGCAACAAGAUGUCAUAACAAGAAUAAUACCCUACCAAGUAAUGCCCUACCCCCAGCAACCCAAAAUGACACUAGCCUUCUAUCAUAAUCCGCGUCCUCCAGAUCUUCUUAUCUAGGGUCAUAUCUUCUGUGAGUUAUAACUGCUCCAUGUCCCGCCUGAUAACCUCUCUCCAGUAUUUCUUCGGCCUACCCCUACCCUGUCUGAAACCAUCCAAAGCAAGCUUCUCGCACCUACGAACUGGGCAUUCGUGCCCCUCCUCUUCACAUGUCCGAACCAUCUCAAACGGACUUCUCGCAUUUUGUCCUCCACCGAAGCCACUCCAACCUUUUCCCGAAUAGUCUCAUUUCGAACUCUGUCACCCCUAGUAAGCCCACACAUCCAAUGCAACAUCCGCAUUUCUGCCACCUUCAAUUUUUGAAUGUGAGAGUUCUUGAUUGACCAACAUUUCGCUCCAUACAACAUGGCCGGACGGACUGUCAUCCUGUAGAAUUUGCCUUUAAGCUUGGGUGGUACCUUCCUAUCACACAACACCCCCGA